rnacentral:rRNA from 1 species
UCAAGUGAAGAAGCGCAUACGGUGGAUGCCUUGGCAGUCAGAGGCGAUGAAAGACGUGGUAGCCUGCGAAAAGCUUCGGGGAGUCGGCAAACAGACUGUGAUCCGGAGGUGUCUGAAUGGGGGAACCCACCCAGCAUAAGCUGGGUAUCCUGCACUGAAUACAUAGGUGCAUGAGGCGAACCAGGGGAACUGAAACAUCUAAGUACCCUGAGGAAUAGAAAUCAACCGAGAUUCCCUAAGUAGUGGCGAGCGAACGGGGACUAGCCCUUAAGUUGAUUUGAGAUUAGCGGAACGCUCUGGAAAGUGCGGCCAUAGUGGGUGAUAGCCCUGUACGCGAAAGUCUCUUAUCAAUGAAAUCGAGUAGGACGGAGCACGAGAAACUUUGUCUGAAUAUGGGGGGACCAUCCUCCAAGGCUAAAUACUACUGACUGACCGAUAGUGAACUAGUACCGUGAGGGAAAGGCGAAAAGAACCCCGGAGAGGGGAGUGAAAUAGAUCCUGAAACCGUAUGCGUACAAGCAGUGGGAGCCUACUUGUUAGGUGACUGCGUACCUUUUGUAUAAUGGGUCAGCGACUUAUAUUCAGUGGCGAGCUUAACCGAAUAGGGGAGGCGUAGCGAAAGCGAGUCUUAAUAGGGCGUUUAGUCGCUGGGUAUAGACCCGAAACCGGGCGAUCUAUCCAUGGGCAGGUUGAAGGUUAGGUAACACUGACUGGAGGACCGAACCGACUACCGUUGAAAAGUUAGCGGAUGACCUGUGGAUCGGAGUGAAAGGCUAAUCAAGCUCGGAGAUAGCUGGUUCUCCUCGAAAGCUAUUUAGGUAGCGCCUCGUGUAUCACUGCUGGGGGUAGAGCACUGUUUCGGCUAGGGGGUCAUCCCGACUUACCAAACCGAUGCAAACUCCGAAUACCAGCAAGUGUCAGCACGGGAGACACACGGCGGGUGCUAACGUCCGUCGUGAAAAGGGAAACAACCCAGACCGUCAGCUAAGGUCCCAAAGUUAUGGUUAAGUGGGAAACGAUGUGGGAAGGCUUAGACAGCUAGGAGGUUGGCUUAGAAGCAGCCACCCUUUAAAGAAAGCGUAAUAGCUCACUAGUCGAGUCGGCCUGCGCGGAAGAUGUAACGGGGCUCAAACCAUACACCGAAGCUACGGGUUCAUCUUAGGAUGAGCGGUAGAGGAGCGUUCUGUAAGCCUGUGAAGGUGAGUUGAGAAGCUUGCUGGAGGUAUCAGAAGUGCGAAUGCUGACAUGAGUAACGACAAUGCGAGUGAAAAACUCGCACGCCGAAAGACCAAGGUUUCCUGCGCAACGUUAAUCGACGCAGGGUUAGUCGGCCCCUAAGGCGAGGCAGAAAUGCGUAGUCGAUGGGAAACGGGUUAAUAUUCCCGUACUUCUAGUUACUGCGAUGGAGGGACGGAGAAGGCUAGGCCAGCACGGCGUUGGUUGUCCGUGUUUAAGGUGGUAGGCUGGUUUCUUAGGUAAAUCCGGGAGAUCAAGGCCGAGAGCUGAUGACGAGCGUUCUUUAAGAAUGCGAAGUGGUUGAUGCCAUGCUUCCAGGAAAAGCUUCUAAGCUUCAGGUAACUAGGAACCGUACCCCAAACCGACACAGGUGGUUAGGUAGAGAAUACCAAGGCGCUUGAGAGAACUCGGGUGAAGGAACUAGGCAAAAUGGCACCGUAACUUCGGGAGAAGGUGCGCCGGUGAGGGUGAAGUAUUUACUGCGUAAGCCCACGCCGGUCGAAGAUACCAGGCCGCUGCGACUGUUUAUUAAAAACACAGCACUCUGCAAACACGAAAGUGGACGUAUAGGGUGUGACGCCUGCCCGGUGCCGGAAGGUUAAUUGAUGGGGUUAGCUAACGCGAAGCUCUUGAUCGAAGCCCCGGUAAACGGCGGCCGUAACUAUAACGGUCCUAAGGUAGCGAAAUUCCUUGUCGGGUAAGUUCCGACCUGCACGAAUGGC